rnacentral:lncRNA from 1 species
UAUCAGGGUCUCAUCCGGUGUAUUGUUGUGCAUUUGUUAUUGCGGGACUUUCCGCCCGGUUGUGUAUUGAGGGACUCGCCCCGUGUUGUGUAUUGAGGGUCUCGCCCCGUGUUGUGUAUUGAGGGUCUCGCCCCGUGUUGUGUAUUGCGGGUCUGCGCCCGUGUUGUGUAUUGAGGGUCUCGCCACCGUGUAGUGCGGGAUUACGGGACAUC